UACGAAGGGGGCUAGCGUUGCUCGGAAUCACUGGGCGUAAAGGGUGCGUAGGCGGGUCUUUAAGUCAGGGGUGAAAUCCUGGAGCUCAACUCCAGAACUGCCUUUGAUACUGAGGAUCUUGAGUUCGGGAGAGGUGAAUGGACUGCGAGUGUAGAGGUGAAAUUCGUAGAUAUUCGCAAGAACACCAGUGGCGAAGGCGCCCUGCUGGGCGGGA
rnacentral:rRNA from 1 species